rnacentral:rRNA from 1 species
UACGGAGGGUGCAAACGUUGCUCGGAAUCAUUGGGCGUAAAGCGCACGUAGGCGGACUGUUAAGUCGGAUGUGAAAGCCCUCGGCUUAACCGAGGAAGUGCAUUCGAAACUGGCAGUCUUGAGUACAGAAGAGGGUCGCGGAAUUCCCGGUGUAGAGGUGAAAUUCGUAGAUAUCGGGAGGAACACCAGUGGCGAAGGCGGCGACCUGGGCUGAUACUGACGCUGAGGUGCGAAAGCGUGGGGAGCAAACA